CUCCGCAGAGGAAUGAAGUAGGACACUUGGUUUUCGCUGAAGGUCAUAAUGGCUAGCUCAUUGGGAAAGAAACAUGCCAUCGAAAGACACCACUGAAAACAAAAGAGCUCACAGUCGAAUCCAAGAUAGCACAAUCUUACCACAAAUUGCAUGCUCUACAUACACUUCCCUUUCAGCAGUUUCACAUACUGUUUAACUCUCUUCUCAAAGUCCUUUUCACAUUUCCCUCAUGGUACUUCUCUGCUAUCGGUUCCAGACCUUUAUGUAGUCGUAGAUGAGAUUUACCACCUAUCCAGCACUCCAAUCCCAAAGAGUGUGACUCCAGGAAGAGGUACCGUUCGUACAAAACAGGCAGCGAUGUGCAGGCCUCUCACCUUCACUGG
rnacentral:rRNA from 1 species